rfam:Erythranthe guttata cultivar DTN x IM62 scaffold_4_contig_70, whole genome shotgun sequence.
GACAGUUUGGCCGAGUGGUCUAAGGCGCCAGGUUUAGGCUCUGGUCCGAAAGGGCGUGGGUUCAAAUCCCAUAGCUGUCA